rnacentral:rRNA from 1 species
UACGUAGGGGGCAAGCGUUGUCCGGAAUCAUUGGGCGUAAAGCGCGCGUAGGCGGCCCGGUAAGUCCGCUGUAAAAGUCAAAGGCUCAACCUUUGAAUGUCAGUGGAUACUGCCGGGCUAGAGUCCGGAAGAGGCGGGUGGAACUCCUGGUGUAGCGGUGGAAUGCGCAGAUAUCAGGAAGAACACCGACGGCGAAGGCAGCUCGCUGGGACGGUACUGACGCUGAGGCGCGAAAGCGUGGGGAGCGAACAGG